GACAGAGGGUGCGAACGUUGCUCGGAAUUACUGGGCGUAAAGCGCGUGUAGGCGGUUACGCGAGUCGGGUGUGAAAGCCCGGGGCUCAACCCCGGAAGUGCACUCGAUACUACGUAGCUAGAGUCCUGAAGAGGAGAGCGGAAUUCCCGGUGUAGAGGUGAAAUUCGUAGAUAUCGGGAGGAACACCAGUGGCGAAGGCG
rnacentral:rRNA from 1 species